AACAGGAUUAGAUACCCUGGUAGUCCACGCCGUAAACGAUGUCGACUUGGAGGUUGUUCCCUUGAGGAGUGGCUUCCGGAGCUAACGCGUUAAGUCGACCGCCUGGGGAGUACGGCCGCAAGGUUAAAACUCAAAUGAAUUGACGGGGGCCCGCACAAGCGGUGGAGCACGUGGUUUAAUUCGAUGCAACGCGAAGAACCUUACCUACUCUUGACAUCCAGCGAACGGGGCAGAGAUGCCCCGGUGCCUUCGGGAACGCUGAGACAGGUGCUGCAUGGCUGUCGUCAGCUCGUGUUGUGAAAUGUUGGGUUAAGUCCCGCAACGAGCGCAACCCUUAUCCUUUGUUGCCAGCGACUCGGUCGGGAACUCAAAGGAGACUGCCGGUGAUAAACCGGAGGAAGGUGGGGAUGACGUCAAGUCAUCAUGGCCCUUACGAGUAGGGCUACACACGUGCUACAAUGGCGCAUACAAAGAGAAGCGACCUCGCGAGAGCAAGCGGACCUCACAAAGUGCGUCGUAGUCCGGAUCGGAGUCUGCAACUCGACUCCGUGAAGUCGGAAUCGCUAGUAAUCGUGGAUCAGAAUGCCACGGUGAAUACGUUCCCGGGCCUUGUACACACCGCCCGUCACACCAUGGGAGUGGGUUGCAAAAGAAGUAGGUAGCUUAACCUUCGGGAGGGCGCUUACCACUUUGUGAUUCAUGACUGGGGUGAAGUCGUAACAAGGUAACC
rnacentral:rRNA from 1 species